UUUUGAACUUGGUUGGUGGUGAUAUUUUACUGAGAUCUGCUUGAUGUGCUGCAACUUUGCUGGCAGGAUUUGUCCUCUGCUAUCCAGCCUGGCCAUGACCCUGCACAGCUGGGAGCGCUCUAGAUGAACUGAGUCAGCCAAAGGAGGCUUUAUAUAUAAAUUGAACUGAAAUUGAAUAGUCCCACAUGCACAAGGUCAGAAAGACUUCACUGAAUGGCUGGCUGCUCUGCAUUGAAGAUCUUUUUGCUUGAGGGAGCUGCAUGAAAAUAGUGAUAGCACCUAGAGCUGGUGAAGCUGAGAAUUUAAACCAGUAUAUUAGCAAAGACAUGGGAGUGAAGUUUAAAUGAAACUCUUGAUAUACCAGCAGCACAGAAGUAAGAAUAGGCAGAGGUAAACAGCAUACAACCCUAUGGGUUUAACCCCUCAAGACACUCUCCUGUAGGUACAGUCUGACUCAGGGGCGGGUAAGAGAAUUGACCCCGACUUCUUUAGAAAUAGAAAUUUGUCCCUAGAUGUGCUGUGUGGUAAGUUCCGUGACAGGUUUAUGAUGUGCUCCUGUAGAAGAUGGGUCCAAAGAAUAAUCAUCUCUUUCUGAAGAACACAAGAAUGCUUUGAAACUAGGAGCUGGUUAUUAAA